rnacentral:rRNA from 1 species
UGGGGAAUUUUGGACAAUGGGCGAAAGCCUGAUCCAGCAAUGCCGCGUGUGUGAAGAAGGCCUUCGGGUUGUAAAGCACUUUUGUCCGGAAAGAAAUCCUUGGCUUUAAUACAGUCGGGGGAUGACGGUACCGGAAGAAUAAGCACCGGCUAACUACGUGCCAGCAGCCGCGGUAAUACGCAGGGUGCAAGCGUUAAUCGGAAUUACUGGGCGUAAAGCGUGCGCAGGCGGUUUGCUAAGACCGAUGUGAAAUCCCGGCGUCAACCUGGGCACUGGCAUGUGAUGCUGGCAGGCUAGAGUAUGGCAGAGGGGGGUAGAAUUCCACGUGUAGCAGUGAAAUGCGUAGAGAUGUGGAGGAAUACCGAUGGCGAAGGCAGCCCCCUGGGCCAAUACUGACGCUCAUGCACGAAAGCGUGGGGAGCAAACAGGAUUAGAUACCCUGGUAGUCCACGCCCUAAACGAUGUCAACUAGUUGUUGGGGGAUUCAUUUCCUUAGUAACGUAGCUAACGCGUGAAGUUGACCGCCUGGGGGAGUACGGUCGCAAGAUUAAAACUCAAAGGAAUUGACGGGGUCAUAGCUGUUUCCU